CUUUCAAAAUUCUAGAUCUGCCUAUGGGCAUGGGUAGUACUAGGAUUUUGGAAAGGG
rnacentral:pre_miRNA from 1 species